AACGAACGCUGGCGGCAGGCUUAACACAUGCAAGUCGAACGGAUCCUUCGGGAUUAGUGGCAGACGGGUGCGUAACGCGUGGGAACGUACCCUUUGCUACGGAAUAACUCAGGGAAACUUGAGCUAAUACCGUAUGUGCCCUACGGGGGAAAGAUUUAUCGGCAAAGGAUCGGCCCGCGUUGGAUUAGCUAGUUGGUGGGGUAAUGGCCUACCACGGCGACGAUCCAUAGCUGGUCUGAGAGGAUGAUCAGCCACACUGGGACUGAGACACGGCCCAGACUCUUACGGGAGGCAGCAGUGGGGAAUAUUGGACAAUGGGCGCAAGCAUGAUCCAGCCAUGCCGCGUGAGUGAUGAAGGUCUUAGGAUUGUAAAGCUCUUUCACCGGUGAAGAUAAUGACGGUAGCCGGAGAAGAAGCCCCGGCUAACUUCGUG
rnacentral:rRNA from 1 species